UCGAUCGGAUUUCUGGUUGCAAUUCUCUGUCCCUUGGCUCUGGGCAGGGAAGGGGGGAGCCACGGCGCUGAGGCUGGGGAGGGGCUAAAUGGGGGGAAGGUCUCUUCGCCCCCUGUCUCAUUUUCUCCGCCUAGUCCCGGCCCUGAGUGCCGCCCCAGAAGUGGGUGAGGGAACGUGGUGGGCUGGGACAACCGGGGAGGGCACAAACUGGAGGCAGCUGGAGACGUCGCCAGGGACCCAAGAUUCCCUCCUCCCCGUUCUCGGGUCCGGCCGGCCCCACAGGCCACUUCCUCUGUAGCGCCCACGCUGCCCCGGGCGGCCCCCCCCGGCUAGCAGCCUGACCCUUUGCCCCAGGCGCCGGAAUGUCUUCUCUCUGGAUGACUGCUUCGGCCCCCACUUCGGAGAAGGUGCACCCGAGUCCCGCUUCCUCGAGACUCGCCCUGCAUCAGGCGCCUCAGCCCUCAGGGCCUUCCCCAUCCAACGUCCGAGUUUGCUCCCUCCUUGGGACAGUUUGAAGAAAAGGACAAACUUUUGAGUGGAUAAAAAUCAAGAGGAGCCCGUCCGGAGCAGGGCUGAUCCCCACUGUAGAAAAACUGCGGCCAGGUCCGGAACCUGCUCACCCAGCAAGCGCUUAAGAGACGCUUGGAGAUCCGCAGCGGGUCUCCCAGAAGGGAGAGGAGUGCCAGCCGAAAAGAGCAGUUUCCCACUCUGCUCAGAUGGAGAGGCUGGUUGAUUCUGGCUCUGGGCCGUCUCUCUAAGGAGUACCCCUGAUUAACUGGGUCCCUGCCAUCUACUUCUGCUCAACAAAGGAGGCCACUCGAGGCCUUGGUGGAAGGACGCACACUUUCUGCCCCUAGCAGCUUCCUUGCCCCAACCUGGCCGCUUGGAGACGAAGGGAACCUAGUUCACUUUGCUGAAUCCGGAAUCUCAGCCAGCAGAGCCAACAGCUGCAGCCGCAUCCUGGAGCCUGACGCUGGCAGCAGUUUCUGCCUCUGGGCUCUCCGUGCCACCUUGGCCUCUGCUUCGUGUGGUUUGCUCUUGUGUUUUUCUCCCUCAUUUAGGGGUGGUGGGGAACAGGGAAAUAAAAUGUGUCUACCAUGCCCCUAAUCCUUCCCCAUGUCCCCACCAAACCUUAAAGCCACUGAUGGUAAUGAACUGCAGCUUCCAGCUGUGCUCAUAAGCUAUUCAAAGCAAAUGCACAUUCUCUUGGGGCAGGAGGAAAGCAGAUGCCCCUUCUCAGCCCUCCCUUGCUCACUGAUCCAUUUUAAGCAUUUUAGGGUCACAACUGAGACCAGAUCACUUCAGUUGGUAUAAAAUUAGCAUUUUUUACCAAACCAAAGGCCUAGAUUUGUUGAAUCAAGGAAUAAGAGGUCUUUAUCCAGACCCACAUCUCUUCUCUGGCCUCUCAAAACAGUAAUGAUGUAAAGACUUGUUGAGGUGGAGAAAUAGAAGAAAAUGAGCAAUUUGCUCCAUCUAGAAGUCAGUAACUUCAGCUGUUUAUUCCACUGUUUCUUUAACACCUACUAUGCAAAGCAUUGUCUCGACCUCAGUUUGUCAUGACUGCCAAAAAUGAUUCUUGCCACUGUGAGGCUUCAGUGUGUGUAGAAAUAUAUAAAAAUACAUCAAUGGAAAAGCAAACUUGCAUUCCGCUGAUUU